rnacentral:rRNA from 1 species
UACGUAGGGCGCAAGCGUUUGUCCGGAAUUAUUGGGCGUAAAGAGCGUGUAGGCGGUUCCGGUAAGUCUGCCGUGAAAACCUGGGGCUCAACCCCGAGGCGGUCGUGGGAAACUGGUGGCUAGAGUGCGGGAGAGGAGAGUGGAAUUCCUGGUGUAGCGGUGAAAUGCGCAGAUAUCAGGAAGAACACCUAUGGCGAAGGCAGCUCUCUGGGACGGUACUGACGCUGAGACGCGAAGGCGUGGGGAGCGAACGGG